rnacentral:rRNA from 1 species
AAAACGACUCUCGGCAACGGAUAUCUAGGCUCUCGCAUCGAUGAAGAACGUAGCAAAAUGCGAUACUUGGUGUGAAUUGCAGAAUCCCGUGAACCAUUGAGUUUUUGAACGCAAGUUGCGCCCGAAGCCAUUAGGCUGAGGGCACGUCUGCCUGGGCGUCUC